AAAAAAAAUUGGUAAAAAAAAAAAAAAAAUUCGGGUUAGGGUUCAGUCCGCUAUCCAACCCUUCAAGAAGCACGAAGUGCCCCGGCGAUCGCCUUCCUCUCCUCCACGUUCAUCGCCCCGAUCGCCUCGCGGUUCCUCUCCACUCUCCGCCGCCCUCGCCCCGGCGAUCGGCUUCCUCUCCUCCACGUUCAUCGCCCCGAUCGCCUCGCGGUUCCUCUCCGCCGCUCCGCCGCCCUCGCCCGCGGUUCCUCGCCCCGGCGAUCGACGUUCAUCGCCCCGAUCGCCUCGCGGUUCCUCUCCACUCUCCGCCGCCCGCGGUUCCUCUCCGCCGCCCCCGCCCGCGGUUCCUCUCCACUCUCCGCCGCCCCCGCCCGCGGUUCCUCUCCACUCUCCGCCGCUCUUCACCUCCACGUCCCUCGCCCCGGCGAUCGCGGUUCCUCUCCGCUCUCGAUUUGCUUCUCCCACGUCCACGGAACACUCUCCGCUCCAUCUCAGACUCCGUGCGGAGAGAGCGUCUGCAUUUAUUCGUGUCUUUUUGGUCUUAUCCGCGCUUUCUCCGUCCUUCAAAACCCUAACAAAGCUAAACAAUCGGCCUGCACCAAUCAUCGCAAAUAAGAUAUGGCUUUUGAGGGCAUUGAAAAUAUCCAGGCUGAAUUUUCACACACGAGGGUAUUAACUACAAAACUUUUGCCAGUUCAUGAUCAAGUAAGGGAUGGAACUUGCUUUCCUAUACAUGCUGCCGAACUUAUGGGGAUUAUGUAUAGCUUAAACAAUUUCAAUCCCCAUAUCCCGCUUUCUUCUCAAGAGUUAGUAGACUGGAUUCCCGUCAGAUAUCCAGAAUCCUAUGAAUAUAAUUCGCGUGCAAUCUUUAAUAGUGCGUACGGGUUAUAUAAUUUAGAGGUGGAACAUGUUUUGGAUUAUCUGAUGGAUGACGGUAUAUGUGAAGCAACUGAAUACCCAUAUAUAGCGGAGAGGAAUCCUCCAGAGCGUAGAAUAAUUACGAGGGGGAUGGUUAAAUACAAAUGUAGAAGAUGGAAAUUAUGUCGUUUUAGGUUUUGGAGACCUCAGUGGGUAGUUCGGACACUCGCAGAUCACCCGUUACUCGGGUAUAUUUUUUAAAAUCUUGGAAUAGGGGAGAUUUAUGAAGGGCCGAGAGAGGGGGAGGUUUUGCAGAAUGAGGAAGGGGAGGACGUUUUGCAGGAUGGGACGUAUUCGCAUGCAGUUUUAGUGACAGGGUACGGAUUGGUAAAUAACGUGCCAUGCUUAGAGAUUAAAAAUUCAUGGGGUACCGGCUGGGGAAACAAUGGUUACGGCCUAGUUUGUUUCAAAGCAAUUCCAUGGUAUGCGUCUAUUGAAUCCGUGUAUAGGGUGGAGCCAGUUUAGUUUACCUUCGGAGUUUACCUAUUUUUAGGUUUUUUAACCAAGUUUCAUGUUAUGGAACUAACUCUCUAACAUUUGUGAUAAAGUUGAUCGUUCUAUCCGUGAUAAAUUUUUCAUUUUGGUUUC